rnacentral:rRNA from 1 species
UACGUAGGAGGCAAGCGUUGUCCGGAAUCAUUGGGCGUAAAGAGCGUGUAGGCGGCUCGGUAAGUCCGCUGUAAAAAGUCAAAGGCUCAACCUUUGAAUGUCAGUGGAUACUGCCGGGCUAGAGUCCGGAAGAGGCGAGUGGAACUCCUGGUGUAGCGGUGGAAUGCGCAGAUAUCAGGAGGAACACCGAUGGCGAAGGCAGCUCGCUGGGACGGUACUGACGCUGAGGCGCGAAAGCGUGGGGGAGCAAACAGG